rnacentral:rRNA from 1 species
AUUGAACGCUGGCGGCAUGCUUUACACAUGCAAGUCGAACGGUAACAGGCCUUCGGGCGCUGACGAGUGGCGAACGGGUGAGUAAUGCAUCGGAACGUGCCCAGUCGUGGGGGAUAACGCAGCGAAAGCUGCGCUAAUACCGCAUACGAUCUAUGGAUGAAAGCGGGGGACCGUAAGGCCUCGCGCGAUUGGAGCGGCCGAUGUCAGAUUAGGUAGUUGGUGGGGGAAAGGCUCACCAAGCCAACGAUCUGUAGCUGGUCUGAGAGGACGACCAGCCACACUAGGACUGAGACACGGCCCAGACUCCUACGGGAGGCAGCAGUGGGGAAUUUUGGACAAUGGGCGCAAGCCUGAUCCAGCAAUGCCGCGUGCAGGAAGAAGGCCUUCGGAUUGUAAACUGCUUUUGUACGGAACGAAACGGUUCUCUCUAAUACAGGGGGCUAAUGACGGUACCGUAAGAAUAAGCACCGGCUAACUACGUGCCAGCCGCCGCGGUAAUAC